rnacentral:rRNA from 1 species
AUUGAACGCUGGCGGCAGGCCUAACACAUGCAAGUCGAGCGAGCGGCGAACGGGUGAGUGAUGUAUGGGGACAGCCCGUGAGAGGGGGAUAACUAAUGGGAAAGGUGGCUAAUACCGCAUACUGUCGGAGUGUCCACAUGGGAGUAGCUAGUAGGUAAGGUAAUGGCUUACCUAGGCGACGAUCCCUAGCUGGUCUGAGAGGAUGAUCAGCCACACUGGGACUGAGACACGGCCCAGACUCCUACGGAGGCAGCAGUGGGGAAUAUUGCACAAUGGGCGCAAGCCUGAUGCAGCCAUGCCGCGUGUAUGAAGAAGGCCCUAGGGUUGUAAAGUACUUUCAGUCGGGAGGCGUUACCGACAGAAGAAGCACCGGCUAACUCCGUGCCAGCAGCCGCGGUAAUAC